UACUACAGCCAUGCCACCCUGAAUGUGCCCGAUCUUGUCUGAUCUCAGAAGCUAGGCAGGGUCGGGCCUGGUUAGUACUUGGAUGGGAGACCACCUAGGAAGACCAGGUGCUGUAGGCA
rnacentral:rRNA from 1 species